CGUCGUUGGUUGACAACGAGAGAGAGCACGCCGGUUCGCAAGCUAUGGCGGCGGCCAUGGUUGUGCACUAGCGUGCUCCUUCUCGUUGUCACACACGGUCGCC
rnacentral:pre_miRNA from 1 species